ensembl:lncRNA
CUCUACUCGCUGGUCUCCCCGCUCCUCCAAUGAGGAGCCCCGGCAGCCGGCCGCGAGGCCCCAUUGGCUGCGGCAACGUUCUAAAUUCCACGAGGGCACGCCCACCUCCGCGCGCACGGUACGCGCUGUUGUAGUUUCCACUUCACCGAAAAAUCUGCCUGGCGACUGAGCAUGCCCAGUUCAACUAGUAACCCCCGCAAGCCACGGGAUCCUGGAGUUUCAUUGUUUUGUUGCUCCGUAUUUGGAUAGUUAUCAGUAGGACGUGUGGGCCUUCAUAAGAAGGAAAAAGAGUAAGGAUGGACACAUUAACUUUAUAAGGUGAGGAAACUCAGCCUCAGAGAGGGGAAGAAAUAUGCUAAAGAUCACAAAGCUAUCAAAGUAUGGCUUCAGGCGCAUGGGCUCAGCAGUUGUGGUGCACAGACUUAGUUGCUCCGUGGCACGUGGAAUCCUCUCAGACCAGGAAUCAGACCUGUGUCUCCCGCCUUGGCAAGCAGAUUCUUUACCACUACACCACCAGGGAAGUACCCUGCCCCCCCCCGCCCCGCCCCACCCUCCACCUUCUAAAACUUCAUUUGCCAUGGGUCCCUCCACAGAGCUAGAUCCCGUAGCUGCUGGCUCCAUCUUUGAAUCCAAUUUGGCACCUUACAGCAUGCAUGCUGUGUUUGGGUACAAGGGGGAUUACGGGGAAAGCUCUCAAAGAGCCUUCACUUCUGCUUUUUGGGAAUAGUGUGCUCAGUCGUGUCCAACUCUUUGUGACCCCAUGAACUGUAGCCCACUGGGCUCCUCUAUCCAUGGAAUUUUCCAGGCAAGAAUACUGGAGUGAGUUGCUGUUUCCUUCUCCAGGGACUCUUCCUGAUCCAGGGAUCAAACCCACGUCUCUUGUGUCUUUGGCAUUGGGAGGCAGACUCUUUACCACUGCGCCACCUGGGAAGAGCCAGAAAAAUUAUGACUAGUAGAUUUUUAGGCAAUCUUAUGUCAAAUGUUUAGAUUAGAAUCCAGAGCUAGGUUAGACAGGAGGGAUUUAAAGAGCUUUUGCCCAUCUGGAAGUCCUCAUCAGGACAGCUUUGCUGGUAUCCCCAGGGAUGUGACCCACGUCUAAAGCUUAGGUUUGCCACUGCCCACUGGCCUGAAUCCCAUCGUGAAUAAAACGCAUGUUCUAAGACCAGAGCCCUCUCUUGCUUUGCUUUGUAGAAUGCUUCUUUCCCAGAGUCUGCUAUCCCUAACACCUUGGCAAUGCUGAAGUCCUACUACUGGCCAGCAAACUUACCUGGUGCUCAAGUCAUCUGCUCUGGAUUGUCCAUAAUCAGGCUCAGCCUGUCUAUUAGGAACCCUGGUUACAUGGUUUUGAAUACUCUGUUUGGCUGGUCUUUCACCUGAUGUUGGUGUAAUCAUUUUCAUUCAUUCAACAAACAUUUAUUGAGUGCCAGGCAUUGUUCUAGGACCUGGAAAUAAGAGCGAACAAAACAGAAAACAAAGCAAAACAAUAGAUCCUGCCUCCUUGGAGUGUUCUGAUAUCAGUGUCUGUUCAACUGGGUUCCUACCUCAUCUUCCGCAGCUGAAUAGUUUCCAUACACCUGCAAAGCCUUUUCCAGCUUCCAAAUCUUAACAGUCUGCUCUCCCACUGCAGUGAAGGGAACCCUCCUUUUAUAAGAUAAAGAAGUGUUGUAUGAAGAAAGGGCACCUGGCCAAGAGCAAGUAUAUAGUUGGUAAAUACACAGGAGACAAUAAACACAACUGUUAAAGUUGAGUUACCAGAAGAGGAACAAAGAAGCAGCAGAGCCAUUGGGUUAAGUCAAGUCAGCCGUAAUCUGUUGUUAAACAAUUACUUGGGAAAAAGCAUGUGAGUGAAGCUCAGUUUUACUUCUGUCUUCUUCCGGAGGAGGGUCAAGAGGAGAGAGAAGGAGAGACUCACCAGCAAAAGAAAGAGAAGUCCAGGGUGGGAGGACUCAGUCACUAAAUUGUUGCUCAAUUCUAAUAAAUGACAUUCCAGUGUGCUGUGGAAAAGCUGCAAAUUAUAUGGCAGAUCUAGUCUGUAAAGAAGUGGAAUUAUGCAGAAUUGUUAGAGUGCCAGCUUGCAAGAGAUGGGUAAGUCCUGUCCCUAUUUUGACAGAGUGGAAGAAGGGAAGUGUUAUAUAAUAAAGACCAGUGGCUUGAUGCUAGAUUUGUUUCGGGGGUGUAAACUAUUCCAGUGUAUAAAAGACCUACACACUUGUUUGUUCUUGAUCACACCCACAGUGUGGUGGUCUUGGGGUGCUGGCCUUGGACCUAAAGGCACAAGAAGUGGCCCCUGAAUCCUCUUUGAGUUUUCCUAAUCUUUGCAGAGCUUAUUAUCCUCCAGAUCACUGGCAGGAGACUGGAUGUAAUUUCCAUCCUUCACGUCCUUCUGGGAUGUGUUCCAGAAUCAGUCUGGGAUCUUGUCUUGACUGGGAUUGUGCGUGAUGGUGAUCACAAGUUCCAUUUCAUCCUUAAGGACCUCUCUUUAGGAGUCAGUGUCUAUAUUCUCAGGACCAAUAUUCAAACACAGAUGUGAGAGCUGGACCAUAAACAAGGCUAAACACUGAAGAAUUGACUUUUUCAAAUUGUGGUGCUGGAGAAGACCCCUGAGAGUCCCUUGGAGAGCAAGGAGAUCAAACCAGUCCAUCUAAAGGAAAUCAGUCCUGAAUAUUCAUUGGAAAGGCUGACGCAGAAGCUGAAGCUUCAAUAUUUUGGCCACCUAAUGUGAAGAAUAAAAUGGGAAAGACUAGAGAUCUCUCCAGGAAAAUUAGAGAUACUAACAGAAUUUUUCAUGCAAGUUCAGUUCAGUUCAGUUCAGUCGCUCAGUCAUGUCUGACUCUUUGCAACCCCAUGAGUUGCAGCACGCAGGCACAAUAAAGGACAGAAAUGACAAGGACCUAACAGAAGCAGAAGAUAUUAAGAAGAGGUGGCAAGACUACACAGAAGAACUAUACAAAAAAGAUCUUCACCAUCCAGAUAAUCACGAUGGUAUGAUCACUCACCUAGAGACAGAUAUUCUGGAAUGUGAAGUCAAGUGGGCCUUGGGAAGCAUCACUAUGAACAAAGCUAGUGGAGGUGAUGGAAUUCCAGUUGAGCUGUUUCAAAUCCUAAAAGAUAAUGCUGUGAAAGGGCUCCACUCAAUAUGCCAGCAAAUUUGGAAAACUCAGCAGUGGCCACAGGACUAGAAAAGGUCAGUUUUCAUUCUAGUCCCAAAGAAAGUGAAAGAAAGUGAAAGUGGCUCAGUCGUGUCCAACUCUUUGUGACCCCAUGGACGGUAGUCUAUCAGGCUAUGCAGUCCAUGGGAUUUUUCAGGCAAGAAUGCUGGAGUGGGUUGCCAUUUCCUUCUCCAGGGGAUCUUCCCAACCCAGGAAUCGAAACCGGGUCUCCUGCAUUGCAGACAGAUGCUUUACCGUCGGAGCCACUAGGGAAGCCCAAUCCCAAAGAAAGGCAAUACCAAAGAUGCUCAAACUACCACACAAUUGCACUCAUCUCACAUGCUAGCAAAGUAAUGCUCAAAAUUCUCCAAGCCAGGCUUCAGCAAUAUGUGAACUGUGAACUUUCAGAUGUUCAAGCUGGAUUUAGAAAAGGCAGAGGAACCACAGAUCAAAUUGCCAACAUCCUUUGGAUCAUAGAAAAAGCAAGACAGUUCCAGGAAAACAUCUACUUCUGCUUUAUUGACUAUGCCAAAGCCUUUGACUGUGUGGAUCACAUCAAACUGUGGACAAUUCUUAGAUAUAGGAAUACCAGACCACCUGUCCUGCCUCCUGAGAAAUGUGUAUGCAUGUCAAGAAGCAACAGUUAGAACCGGACAUGGAACAACAGACUGGUUCCAAAUCAGGAAAGGAGUUCGUCAAGGCUGUAAAUUGUCACCCUGCCUAUUUAACUUCCAUGCAGAGUACAUCAUGAGAAACACUGGACUGGAUGAAGCACAAAAUGGAAUCAAGAUUGCCAGGAAAAAUAUCAAUAACCUCAGAUAUGCAGAUGACACCACCCUU